GGGCAACCGGGGAUGAAAUCUAGGGUUUCCGGUGGUGGUGGAGGUGGAUUGGAUUGGUCUUGUGGGGUUUGAAAAUGAGGGUUUGGGGUUUGAUCGAGAGAUUCCAUUUAUUUUUAGAGAGAGAGCGCGAAGGUUAUUCGAGAGAGAGAGCGCGUAGACGUAACCAGUUUGUGGUUUCCGAUUUUCCACUUGAGGUGGUGUACGUACUACGUCGUGCUAGUUCCUUCUUUUAUUUUUAUUGGAUAAAUUUUAUUUAUUUUCUAAUGGCGGUUAGGUGUAGUGGUGGUGUUAAUGAGCUCAGUGUCUUUUGGGCUAAAAUGAUAGUUGAGCUGGGUAGCCCAAACAAAGAUUAUGCGAG
rnacentral:lncRNA from 1 species